CACGUAGGGGGCAAGCGUUGUCCGGAUUUAUUGGGCGUAAAGAGCUCGUAGGCGGUUCGGUAAGUUGGGUGUGAAACCUCCAGGCUCAACCUGGAGACGCCACCCGAUACUGCUGUGACUAGAGUCCGGUAGGGGAGCGUGGAAUUCCUGGUGUAGCGGUGAAAUGCGCAGAUAUCAGGAGGAACACCGGUGGCGAAGGCGGAUCUCUGGGCCAUUACUGACGCUGAGGAGCGAAAGCGUGGGGAGCGAACAGG
rnacentral:rRNA from 1 species